AAACACCUCCCCCUGCAACUGGAUCCUGGACUUCCCGAGGGCCGCCCCCAGGUGGUGAGGGGCAUGGAUGAAGAGUCCACCAAGGCUGCCAUUGAGGACACUACUGUGGGGAUCUACAUUAUCAAAGACCAUGCCACGAGUGAGGAACCAGAGGACACUGGGAUUGUCCUUGAAGGCAUCAAGGUGUUGCAGGAUCUGGGCAACGUAGCAUUUGCUGUUGCAAUGCUGUUUGGCCUCAUGUAUGCCAUGAACCUUACUUACCCUACUUAGCUCCGCUCCACCUUAAGUCUUUCUGAGGGUUUUUAUGGAACUGAAUGGGGAAAACUUUCUAACAAAGCUGUUGCAACCUUUCUGGGAUAUUCGGGACGGUAGCGGCCCACCUCAACAACAGCCAGUGAAAGUGCAGGGCGCCAAAUUCAACACAACAGAAAUACCAGAAUUAAAAUUCCUCAAACUUGCAAAUAUUUCACACCAUUUUAAAGAUAAAGUUGUUGUAAAUCCAGCCACAGUGUCCAAUUUCAAAAAGGCUUUACGACGAAAGCACACCAAACAAUUGUUAGGUCAGUACCUAGUCACAGAAAAACACAACCAUUUUUCCAGCCAAAGAGAGGAGUCACAAAAAGCACAAAUAGAGAUCAAAUAUAUCACUAACCUUUGAUUAUCUUCAUCAGAUGACACCCAUAGGACUUCAUGUUACACAAUACAUGUAUGUUUUGUUCGAUAAAGUUCAUAUUUAUAUCCAAAAAUCUCAGUUUACAUUGGCAUGUUACGUUCAGUAGUUCCAAAACAUCCGGUGAUUUUGCAGAGAGCCACAUCAAUUUACAGAAAUAUUCAUAAUAAACUUCCAAAAAGAUACAAGUGUUAUGCAUGGAAUUUUAGAUCCACUCCUCCUUAAUGCAACCAUCAGAUUUUAAAAAAGCUUUGCCGAAAAAGCACACCAUACAAUAAUCUGAGUACAGCGCUCAGACAACAAAACAAGCC
ensembl:lncRNA